rnacentral:rRNA from 1 species
UACGUAGGGUGCGAGCGUUGUCCGGAAUUAUUGGGCGUAAAGGGCUCGUAGGCGGUUUGUCGCGUCGGGAGUGAAAUCCUACGGCUUAACUGUGGGCUUGCUUUCGAUACGGGCAGACUAGAGGUAUGCAGGGGAGAACGGAAUUCCUGGUGUAGCGGUGAAAUGCGCAGAUAUCAGGAGGAACACCGGUGGCGAAGGCGGUCUGCUGGGCAGUUGCUGACACUGAGGCGCGACAGCGUGGGGAGCAAACAGG